rfam:Triticum aestivum genome assembly, contig: Triticum_aestivum_CS42_TGACv1_scaffold_320348_4BL
AGUCUACUCCCUUCGUCCGAAAAUACUUGUCAUCAAAAUGAACAAAAAGGAAUGUAUCUAGCGUCCGGAAAUACUUGUCAUUAAAAUGGACAAAAAGGAAUGUAUCUUCAUUUUGAUGACAAGUAUUUCCGGACGGAGGGAGUACCUU